UGGACCAGUAGUGAUGACCGGUGGUGUGUGGGUUGUGGAUGAUGAGCAAUACCUGUGAGGGUCAAC
rnacentral:snoRNA from 2 species